rnacentral:rRNA from 1 species
UACAGGGGGUGCAAACGUUGCUCGGAAUUAUUGGGCGUAAAGCGCGCGUAGGCGGCUAUUUAAGUCGGAUGUGAAAGCCCUUGGCUCAACUGAGGAAGUGCACCCGAAACUGAAUGGCUUGAGUACCAAAGAGGGUCGCGGAAUUCCCGGUGUAGAGGUGAAAUUCGUAGAUAUCAGGAGGAACACCGGUGGCGAAGGCGGCUCUCUGGACGGUGACUGACGCUGAGACGCGAAAGCGUGGGGAGCAAACAGG